rnacentral:lncRNA from 1 species
AUCCCAGUUCAUCCCAGUGCCACCAUAUUGCCUUCCCAGUUCACCCCAUUCCGUCCCAGUGCCUCCCAGUAUCAUCCCAGUGCCUCCCAGUCCAUCCCAGUUCAUCCCAGUGCCUCCUUUGUGUCUUCCCAGUUCAUCCCAGUUCAUCCCAUCUCAUCCCAGUAUCAUCCCAGUGCCUCCCAGUUCAUCCCAGUGCCUCCCAGUUCAUCCCAGUGCCUCCUUUGUGUCUUCCCAGUCCAUCCCAGUUCAUCCCAGUUCAUCCCAGUUCAUCCCAGUUCAUCCCAGUUACUGUGUCCCCCCCGCAGGCGCCAGCAUCAGACAUGGAAUACGAACGCAGGUAAGGGGGGGGACCCCAAAAAGGAGAGAC